AACGAACGCUGGCGGCAGGCCUAACACAUGCAAGUCGAACGAGAAGCCACCUUCGGGUGGUGGACAGUGGCAGACGGGUGAGUAACGCGUGGGAACGUGCCUUUCGGUUCGGGAUAACCCAGGGAAACUUGGGCUAAUACCGGAUACGCCCUCCGGGGGAAAGAUUCAUUGCCGAAAGAUCGGCCCGCGUCGGAUUAGCUAGUUGGUGGGGUAAAAGCCUACCAAGGCGACGAUCCGUAGCUGGUCUGAGAGGAUGACCAGCCACACUGGGACUGAGACACGGCCCAGACUCCUACGGGAGGCAGCAGGUGGGGAAUAUUGGACAAUGGGCGGCAAGCCUGAUCCAGCCAUGCCGCGUGGGU
rnacentral:rRNA from 1 species